rnacentral:lncRNA from 1 species
CCGACACAUUUUUGACGAAACCACUCCAAGCAGCCAUCACCAUGAUCACACACCAGUGGUGUCGCUUUGUGAACGUAGUAUAAUUCCAUUCUGCGAUAUUCCUUUUAGAAGAUAAUUAAGGCAACAUUUAAUGCUUGCCAUGGUUCUGGUGAGAAAUACUUUUUUACUCUAGCAAUGUUGAUAUUCUUAUCCAAUAUUUUGGUUGGAAGCAUGUGAUGUAGUUUCAUGUCGUCUUUCAAUAUGAUCGCAUUGCUGUCCAUUACGGAUUUUAGGUUUACCUCACUUUUAGUAUCCAACUUAGCAGUUAGUAAACUGUAAUUUGCUUUGGAUGUAUCAAAUUUUUUGAGAACUGCGUUCGUAUCUAUAGCUGUAUGCAAUUUGUGUCUUGAUAUUGUUUCAGUUUCGUUUCAAACGCAUCCCAAGUUUUAAUUUUUUCAUCCAAAACAAAAUUGGUAAUACGAAUCUCUUCAUCCAUUGUUCAAAGUAACCCUAACCCUAACCAUGAUGACAGUAAUAAGAGUAGGUGUGCAGUUAAACUAUUUAAAUACCAUUUGUUGAAUGAUGAUAUGUAUUAUUUAUCAUUAUUACAAGUACUAUAUAGUACAUGUGAAAGAAUUAAGCAACACAACUAUAGAAGAUUUAAAUUUAAUAAAUCUAGCAUGCAUACAUUGCUGUUUUUCAUGUAACAAUAACACAAUGUAACCGUAGCCUCAAUAAUUAUUGUUACAUUCGUAAUUAAUCGGUUCCUUACCCAACUUUGCAUUCCGGCAAUUAGUCUCCAAUGUAACAAUAAUAUUUUUAUUAUUGUUACAUUUCCAUGUAACCGUAGCCAGUGCCUU